UGCGCUGAGUGGGUGCAGUGGUUAUAGCAGGAGUGGGCACAACGGGGCAGAGAAGUCCCGGUGUCCGUACUCCAGAUAUAUUUAAAGGAAAACUCAGACAUCCAUCUCUCUUCCCUCCCCUCCCUCCAGUUCCCUUCCUGACGCCCGGGCGUCGAGACUAUUGGCCGCUGCCCCUUUAAGGGCCUCCACUCCUCCCCCCCUACCCGCCCCCCCAAGCGGUGGCACCAAGCGGGUUGGGGGUGGGGGGGAGGCUGAGCGUUCUCCGCCGGUCAACUAGGGAAGAUGGCCCAGGCCGAGGAAAUCGCUCCCACGCCCCGUUGUCCCCUCCCCUGAGCAGGGGGGAAGGGACCCAUCUAGAAGGGAGACCCCCUCUCUCUUUCCCUCCCGCCCCACGCGCGCCGCGGGAAUGGCUCCGUGGCCUCACGGGAACAGCUCUCUGGCCUCGUGGCCGGCUGCCCCCACCCCGACGCCCAGUACUGCCAACACGAGUGGGCUGCCAGGGGUGCCGUGGGCGGUGGCCUUGGCGGGGGCGCUGUUGGCGCUGGAGGUGCUGGUCACCGUGGGAGGCAACCUGCUGGUAAUCGUGGCCAUCGCUCGGACACCGAGACUCCAGACCAUGACCAACGUGUUCGUGACUUCGCUGGCCACAGCAGACCUGGUGGUGGGACUGCUGGUAGUGCCGCCGGGGGCCACCUUGGCGCUGACCGGCCACUGGCCGCUGGGAGCCACUGGUUGCGAGCUGUGGACCUCAGUGGACGUGCUGUGUGUGACAGCCAGCAUCGAAACCCUGUGCGCCCUGGCCGUGGACCGCUACCUGGCAGUGACCAACCCGCUGCGCUACGGCGCGCUGGUCACCAAACGGCGCGCGCGGGCGGCAGUGGUGCUGGUGUGGGUCGUGUCCGCCGCGGUGUCGUUUGCGCCCAUCAUGAGCAAAUGGUGGCGCGCGGGAGCCGACGCCGAGGCGCAGCGUUGCCUCUCCAACCCGCACUGCUGCGCCUUCGCCGCCAACGUAGCCUACGCGCUGCUCUCCUCCUCCGUCUCCUUCUACCUCCCGCUUCUGGUGAUGUUCUUCGUCUACGCGCGCGUUUUCCUCGUGGCCACGCGCCAACUGCGCCUGCUGCGCCGGGAGCUGGGCCGCUUCCCGCGGGAGGAGUCCCCGCCGACUGCGUCUCGCUCUCUGUCCCCCGCCCCGGCCGGGCCGUGCGCUUCGCCCGCAGGGGUGCCUUCUUACGGUCGGCGGCCCGAGCGCCUUCUGCCUCUCCGGGAACACCGGGCCCUGCGCACCUUGGGUCUCAUCAUGGGUACCUUCACUCUCUGCUGGUUGCCCUUCUUCGUGGCCAACGUGAUGCGCGCUCUCGGCGGCCCCUCUCUGGUUCCCAGCCCGGCUUUCCUGGCCCUCAACUGGCUAGGCUAUGCCAACUCCGCCUUCAACCCGCUCAUCUACUGCCGCAGCUCCGACUUUCGCCGCGCCUUCCGCCGCCUCCUGUGCCGCUGCCGGCGGGAGGAGCACCGCGCCGCCGCCUCCCGGCCUGGCGACCCCUCGGGCGCCCCUGCGGCCCUGACCGGCCCCGCGGAGUCCAGGCAGCGCCCACCGCUCGACGGGUGGCAGAAGAACCAGAUAGGAGGAGCCCGGGUGUUCAAAAGUGUGCAGUCACCAUGUCCACCAUGGAUUGCUUAUGCUUAAGACUCUUACAUGAAAGAAAAAUAAACUUGUAUCUUGUUUAAGCCAGAGUUAUUUUAGCCUUUUUUUUUUUUUAAACAGCAGCUGAAUCAAACAAAUUCAUCAAUGAAGGGAUAAUAAAGGAGGGUAUAAAUGAAUGGGCAUCUGCUGACCUUCUGUGAUGAAUGUAGCUUGGGUGACAAAGCCGCCUUGUUUUGGUCCUCUUAGGGCAUCCCUGAUCUCUGGGAAUUGGCAUCUCUAUAGAGUUGGAGUUCAUGUGGCCCCCGAGACCACCAAGUCUGUCUCUUUGACCUUGAUUAGCACAGGGACAAUGAUCAAUGAGUGUAUUCAUUUUCCAAGGCUGCUGCAACAAGUUGCCAUGAUCUUGGUGGCUUAAAACAACAGAAAUUUAUUCUCUCAUAAUUCUGGAAGCCAGAAGUCCGAAAGCAAGGUGUCAACAGAAUUGGCUUCUUCAAGAGGCUCUGAGGAGGAGUCUGUCCCAUGCCUCUUUCCUAGCUUCUGGUGGCUCUGGCAAUUUUUAGCAUUCCUUGGCUUGUAGACAUAUCUCACUCCGAUCUCUACCUCUUUCCUCACUUUCUUCCUGUGUCCAUGUAUGUCUUUUUUCUGUCUCUUAUAGGGACACACAUCAUUGGAUUUGGAGCCUAUCUUAGUCCAGGAUAAUCUCAUCUCAAGAUCCUUACCUUAAUUAUAUCUGCAAAGACCUUUAAUCCAAAUAAGGUCACAUUCUGAGAUUCCAGGUUGACAUAUAUUUGGGGACUACCAUUCCACCCACUAUAGUGAGAGACACUUAUAAAUCCUUUCACUGAGAGUUCUCAUCUUGAAGAUUAUCAUCCACUCCAGUCGCCCCUCAGGAAAGGGCUGUUCUCUCCAGAAGCUCAUGCUCUGUGGUAGGCAGAACUGAGAACUCUGAAGGACCCCUGUCCUCGUAUAAUUCCCUCCCCUUGAAUGUGGGUGGGACCUAUAAUUUGCUUCUAGGAAAUAAUAAUAUGGCAAAGGUGAUGGGAUAUCACUCCUGGGAUUAUGUUAUAUUAGAUGGCAGAGGUGAAAGGAUUUCAAAGAUGUAAUUAAGGUCUCUAAUCAAUUGACUUAAGUUAAUUAAAAGGCAGAUUAGCCUGCGUGGGCCUGACCUAAUCAGACAAGCCCUUUAAAAGGAGGUCAGAGGUCAGAGAUGGAAGAAGUCAGAAAGAUACUCUGGCUGGCCUCCAUGAAGCUAGCCACCAUGAGUUCCACAAGUGCAAGGAAGUGGAUCCUGCCAACCACCACGUGAGUUAGAAGAGGACACUGAGCGUCAGAUGAGACUGCAGCCCUGGCUGACAUCUUCACUGUAGCCUGGUGAGACCCUGAGCAGAAGAUCCAGCUCCCCCGUACACAGACUCUUGAGACAUGGAAACUGUGAGAGCAGAAGAACAAAGCUGAAGCAUCCAGAAGAGCAGAGCCAAGGAAAUCACAGGGAAUGAAGCUGGAGCUCUGGUGACACGUUGAUACUCGGGACUGAACUGCGAUUGAAGUCAGAUGUACCCUGGCCUGCCCAGUUAUAGAGCCAAUAAAAGAUCUCUCUUGCUCAAGCUAGUGGCUUGGGUUUUUUAUUACUUGCAACAGGAACAGUUCUGAUUGGCGCACAUGUUAGCAUCCUCACAACUGAAAUGUGAAGUGAAAAAUGUAUGAUGCCAAUUACAUGUACAUUUUGAUUUCAAUUGUCUUAAAAUAUAAACAUCAUAGAAGAGAAACUGAAAGGGGGUGCACCAAAAUGUUAAGUGUGGUUGUAGAUUGAUUGUAGCAAAUCGGUGUUCGUCAUUAUAGUUUUUUGAGGUUUUAAGGUUUUCUACAAUUAUAGGGAUGAUUUUCAUAGUCAUUUGCCAUAAGGUGAGUUCCCCGGAAGCAUAGCCUGAGAAGGGGAUUUGGGGCUCACGAUUUGCAGAGGGAGCACAAUGUAGGAGGAACCUGUAAGGAAGCAGAAUUGUGACGGGGAAACAGGCCUUACAAGGAUGUGGUCCCAGGUGAAGUCUAGCCUUGACCUUUUUGGGGUGGGCCGUGCAAAGGGUAUCUGCGUGAGACACCAGCAGUGUCUACAACAAUCACUUACAAAGUUAUUUUUUUAAACAAAUUUUAUUUUAAAGAUUUUAUUUAUUUGACAGAGAGACACAGCGAGAGAGAGAGCACAAGCAGGUGGAGGAGCAGAGGGAGAGGGAGAAGCAGGCUUCCCGCAGAGCAGGGAGCCCGAUGCGGGGCUCGAUCCCAGGACCCUGGGAUCAUGACCUGAGCCGAAGGCAGACGCUUAACGACUGAGCCACCCAGGCGCCCCCUACAAAGUUAUUUUUAAAAAAAUAAAAAAAGAAAGCAAAUCACAAGACUGAUCCUACAGAGGCCAGCUCUUUGCGCCCUUGAUUUCUGCCAUCUACACUUGCUGCUGGGCCACCAAUGAAUAGGUUAACAAGUGUAGAAGUCUUGGCUCUAGAACUGAGAGAAAAUAGGAUUGGCUUGCGGAGUUGCUGCUUAUCCUGUUUCUAAACAUAGGAUUCUUUAUUUAAAAUAACUAUGGAAGGAAACAGUGCUUUCUUUCUA